ACGGUAUAGCCGUUUUUUUACCCCGGCGUCGUAGAAACUAGCAUAUCAAUAAGCGGAGGAAAAGAAACCAACAGGGAUUGCCCUAGUAACGGCGAGUGAAGCGGCAACAGCUCAAAUUUGAAAUCUGGCUCUUUCAGAGUCCGAGUUGUAAUUUGCAGAGGGCGCUUUGGCUUUGGCAGCGGUCCAAGUUCCUUGGAACAGGACGUCACAGAGGGUGAGAAUCCCGUACGUGGUCGCUAGCUAUUGCCGUGUAAAGCCCCUUCGACGAGUCGAGUUGUUUGGGAAUGCAGCUCUAAAUGGGAGGUAAAUUUCUUCUAAAGCUAAAUAUUGGCCAGAGACCGAUAGCGCACAAGUAGAGUGAUCGAAAGAUGAAAAGCACUUUGGAAAGAGAGUCAAACAGCACGUGAAAUUGUUGAAAGGGAAGCGCUUGCAGCCAGACUUGCUUGCAGUUGCUCAUCCGGGCUUUUGCCCGGUGCACUCUUCUGUAGGCAGGCCAGCAUCAGUUUGGGCGGUGGGAUAAAGGUCUCUGUCACGUACCUUCCUUCGGGUUGGCCUUAUAGGGGAGACGCCAUACCACCAGCCUGGACUGAGGUCCGCGCAUCUGCUAGGAUGCUGGCGUAAUGGCUGUAAGCGGCCCGUCUUGAAACACGGACCAAGGAGUCUAACAUCUAUGCGAGUGUUUGGGUGUCAAGCCCGAACGCGUAAUGAAAGUGAACGGAGGUGGGAACCCGCAAGGGUGCACCAUCGACCGAUCCUGAAGUUUACGGAAGGAUUUGAGUAAGAGCAUGGCUGUUGGGACCCGAAAGAUGGUGAACUAUGCUUGAAUAGGGUGAAGCCAGAGGAAACUCUGGUGGAGGCUCGCAGCGGUUCUGACGUGCAAAUCGAUCGUCAAAUUUGGGCAUAGGGCGAAAGACUAAUCGAACAUCCAGCGCUC
rnacentral:rRNA from 1 species